UCUCUCUUAUGGUUCUAGAUUUUAUAAAGAAAAUUGGAUGUGUGGAUUUUUUAGUUGAAUAUUUAAAACUGCUCAUGAAUUCAAUCAAAAAUAUUGUGGAUAAUCCAUCCGGGUUUUGAUCAAUCCGCGUAAACUCUAUUCCGAAAUAACGUUUUUAAAAUCAAUCUUGAAAUUAGUAUUGCUACACACUAGGAAGUACAAAAUGAUUAAACAUUACAAUCGAUUUUUCUCUUAAAAUACUGUUUUAAAUUAGGUGCGAAAAACUAAAUGCGGUUCCGCAGCAGAAUCAUCGGAUAGCUGCGCUCCCGUUAGCUGCUCUUUUUCAUCUUGGAACUGGCGUCUGUUAGGUGAAUUCCUACAAAAUGGUUUCCACACGACUCAUGUCGAUGGGAAAUGGCACCGUCAAUGAAUUAGCUAGUCACUCAUCAUCCACCGAUGGCCCUGCGAAAUUUACAAGAAACAGCGCCGCGGCGGCGUGUUAUAAACCUGCAGCGCGAACGGUGGAAUCGAUACAAUUCUUGGAAUUACCCCAGGAAGUUAUUGAGAAAGUGUUUAGUUAUUUGUCCUUCAGGGAAAUAAGCAAACUGCGAUUGGUCAGUCGGAGAAUUGAUCAAAUAUGCGGAUAUAUUUUGAAUUCAACAUUUUCUAAGCUGCAAAAUCAAAUGCUUCAACGUUUCCAAGAUAUAAAAAGCAAAAUGCCCAGAAGAGAGUCGGCGCGUCGCAGCCACUACCUAGCGUGCGAAAGCGAUAUCAUUGAGACAUUGCACAUGCGACUGACAUUGCUGCAAAUGACUUUUGGGAAGCACAUUGAGCGAAAAUAUUGCUGCUUUUUUCCUGGGGAGAUCCUCGAUGAAGUUUAUUCGAUUUUGCUGUACAUAAAGACCACCCAGAAGUUGGAUCUUCCAUACAAGGUAACAGAUGAAUUGUUCGAUUUAUCCACAAUGGCUAUGGAAUACUUCAAGGAAAAAAUUGAACCGAACUUGCCCGAAAUUGCAUAUUUCAGUACCGAUUUUUUACAUUUUUCCGCUAAUUUUGCCGGUACUAGCCCUAAUAAAUAUAUGCCAUUAGAAUCUUCAACAUCUGAGUCGGUAAAUGAAGUUGAUCAAAACGAUACAGACGUUCUCGAAAACGAGGAUCUGGUAGAGAUUCCGCAGUCGAAUAUGGUUUUGCGCAAAAGAAUUCGUAAAAUUAAGCAGGGCAUGAAACGGUAUAACAAUCAACUGACAGUCUUGAGGCAAGAGUUGAAAACGUGCAAGAAAAAAACUUCAGAGCAACAAAAACAAAUCAGCGACCAACAAAAGCAACUUGCGGAUCAGCAAAAACAAACCCUUGAAUACGCUACUAGGUUAGACGAAUAUGAUAAGAAAAACGAAGAGAUUUCACGCAAAUUUAGCACAUUACUUCAGGAACUUAAUAAAUGCAAAACAGAACUCCAAUAUUGGAGAUGCAAAUCGCCUGCAAUACCUCCGAUUUGUAGCACAUGCGGCAGUCCUCAGCCUGAAGAGCUUCAAGCAUUUAUAAACCAGGGGGUAAAUCCGGAAGGAAUAGAAAUUAUAGCAGAUCUCGCCGGUUUGCCUAUGCUAGAACAAAAUACUAAGAGUAUAGAAGAAUCCGCUGAUGUCACGGAACCCAUAGAAGCGGCACAAAAAGAUAACCGGUGUGAAACUUCAUCAGGUUCAUCGGUCGCAGCUGUUAGAAGUAUUAAAAGAAAAAUUUCUGAAGAAGAUCCGAUCGAGCCUAAAGCAGUGUCGAAGAAGACGCGUCGAGGAUCUAAAGCCCGUUGCAAGAAGAGUAAAAUCUAAGGAAAGAUUAUAAGUGAAGAGAUCAUGAUGAAGAAAAUUUAACCAAAAAGUAAGUUUUCAGGAGUGUCACAUCCGAGUGAAGAAGUGAAAAAGACGAUGACAGCAACGGCGUUUACAUUUUUAAAUUGUCAGUCAUUGUUUGUAGAAAUCUCAAAAUCCACUAGCUUCUAGUUUGUGACCUCUUGCACAGGUUCUUGUUUAACUUGCAGAAUGAACCAACAAAGAAUCAUUGUGUACGUAGUAAAGGCAAAAACAGUUUCAUAUCUCCGAUUCCACAUGAAAAAUUAGUAUUGGUUUGUUGUGACUUAGAAAUGAUAUUUGUUGCAUACUAGAUACGAGAAAGUGGGAACAAUCUAUAACUUUUAAAUAAUGAGCUUUUAAAUAAUGACUUUUAAAUAAUAAUGAAGAAACAGAUCAGUAAAUAUGUUUUUAUACAAAUAAUAGUAGUUUACAUAAAAAUGGAAAAUUUUUGGUUGCCUACGAGAAAAAUUCCUUUUGUUAAGAAUAUAAUUUAUAUUGACCGAUUAAAUGGUUAUAAAAAAUAAUAUAGCCACAAAGUAUCACAGAACAAGUUGAUAAUCAAUGAACGGGAAUAAGCUUCAUUUCCUUUUUAUAAAGACUGCCUCAAAAGUAGGGCAAAAUUUGAAUUAAAUAAAAAACAGUUUUUUUUCUUUAAAUUGUUUUUUUAUUGAAUCGAAAAUUAUAAAUAGGGUUGAAUUUCCCCCCUUCAAUCUACACGUGGUUGCAGUACAAUAAAAAGAAAUUCAAUGAUGUCAAAUCACUUGAUCUAGGGGGCAAAUCUUAUCACCUAAGCGAGAAAGUACUUAACUAAGAAAUGUUAUGGCAUGUAGCACCGUCUUGUAGAAAUCACAUCCAUAUCAGCCACCAUUCACCAAACAGUGAUAUAUUGACGAUGCAUUUGAACUGAGGAGGCUUUUACUUGAUGAAAAUAAGAACUAAAAGUUCAAGAGUUUCACGAAAUUAUAUAUUUUUACAUGACAUUUGUUUUGACAACACCGUGUCUUCGUCAAAUGUCACACGGUGUUGUCGAAAUAAUUGUCAUGUGAAAAUAUAUAAUUUCGUGAAAAUCUGAACUUUUAGUUCUUAUUUAUUUUGACGAUACAUUUGUUUUUCGAUAAUCACAUUUAUGUUCUCUGAACGCCAAACGCGGCAAUUUUGACAGUUUGCAAAGCAAUCAUGGUAAAAAUGUGCUUGUCGAUAUUCAAUAAUCACCAACACUCUCACGCACUCGUUCCAUAUUGACAUUUGAUGAACGGAUUGUUUUUAACGACUAAUAUGUUUAGCAUCAUCAGUUGGUCCAGUUUGCCUGAAUUUUCCAAUUACUCACAGUUAACGAAGUUAAAUCACUAUUCCGACCAUAUUUUGUACACAAUUUUCGAAAUGUGACUACCAAACUUUCAUUAUUUUUGAAAUAUUGUUCAACAAUGAAUUUGUGUAUUUGUGCUAUACCACCAGCUGUCGAAUUGUUAAUUUUUCUGCGUUGUCAACGGUUUACUGCGAACUUUAGAAGCUAUGGCUUCAAAACCAUUUUCUCAGAUUUCUGAGCCAAGAUAUUCUUCCAACAGAUUUUUUUUUUAAUUUUGCGGGUUGCGGGAUAUAAUAAGAUAUUGGAGAUUUCUCUUUUUCACUUCCUGCAGGAUUUCUACAUCUUUCUCCAUUCUUCUCGUUGAGAAUCCAAGCUUCUACACUAUAUAAAAAGACUGCGAAAAUAUAACAAGCUCAGAUCGCGGCUACAGAGCAGUUUUUUGGUCUUCAUAAAGGAUACAUGGGACUUCUCAAUACGAAUCCUUAUUUUUGACACUUUCCAGCAUUUCACCUUCCAUUUACAACUGUUCAUUAAGCGCCUCACUUUUGGUAACAAUCAUAUACUUGGUCUUUUUAAUGUUGAAUGCCAGACCAUAUUCUCGACUAACUGUGAUGAGAUUAUUCAACAUAUUUUGUAGAUCUUGCAUGUUUUCAGCGAGAAGCGCAUAUCUAAUGACGCCAAUUAAAAAUUUGACACUAGUUGUCAAUUUUAACCGGUGUCAAAUAUUGACAUACCAUCAUUUGGGAGCUUAUGAAAAACUAAGAUUCGUUUUGAUUGUAUAGCCCGUUAAAGUUAGAAAAAGACCAAUUUUCAACCGUCAAUAUCUCGAAAACAUUUGAAAUAAGAUUUAAAAGAAUUUUAAGAAGAAUCCAAGAAAUUGCUGUUGGAGAUUCCAAUAUUGCCAUCGAUUUUGAAAUUUUUCAACAUUAAAACAUUUUUUAAAUAUAGUUUAUCAUAUUUUAUGGCAAUAUGCCAUAUUGGACCAAAUUUGUUACGGUAUACUUUUAUUUGAUUUUUUAAAUUAAUAAAACUAUUAAAAAACACUGUAGCUCUGGUAUCACAGAAAAUUGCAUUACGGUUUUAUUUAUUUGCUAAAUUGCAGCAUUUGCAUCUCUACAAUUUUUGUCUGAUUUUGUUUUUUUUUUAUUGGGACCCCUCACUUUUCAUAUGCACCAUGGCUUUCGGACGAUUUCUAAAAAAAAAUUAGUAGUCCUUAAUGUUCCGAACAAAUGGACCCAUCAACUGUGCAAAUGGUCCGAUUUUCACAAAACUUUUUUUUUAUAUCGAUAGCCAAAGAAAAAUAAUACAAUACAUUGUUCGGACGGUGUAACAACGACAAGUCAAACAAGUAAACAAGUAAAAAGUUACAGGUCGUUAGAGUGUGAAUUUAAUUUUCGACAUAUUUUAUUUAACUUCAAAAAUGUCUAAGGAUUUUGGAUGAAGUUAUUUGAGGAUAACAAUAAACGAUAUCAAUUUCGCCCAAAUACGUACAAAAUUAUUUUUUGUGGUUAAUUUUACUAAAAUACAUUUUGCGCCAUUCUGUAUGUCAAUAAUAAAUAAAUAUUGAAUUUUUCAGCAAAAAAAUGCAUAGUUGCUAAAUCUAUUGAUAAAGUUAACGUUAUCACUCAAAAAGAGAAUCGAAUAAAACGGGGACUUCUGCACCUCUUAUUUUGGCGUUAUUGUACUUUAUACCGUGCACACUUGACGAGAAAUAACGUUUUCCCUCGUUAACAGAUUAAGUCCGAUGCCACCUACGCCGAAAUAAAGCCCGUUACUAAAAUUUAAAACAUAAGCAUUGCUUUUAUUUUAUUGUACUUGAACCGUAAAGAAAUUGUAAAAAACAAAACCAGAAAGAAACACCACUAAAAUGUUACUGUAACUGUCGCCAACUCUCACAUACUGAAGUGAGAUAUGGACGACGACAAAGCGAGGAGAAAGCAGAAUCCAGGCUAAAGAAAUGAAAUUUUUAUGAAGCGUUAAAGGCUGUACAACACGAGACCAAAUUAGAAAUGAAAACAUCUCGCCACAAUAGAUGAGUUAAACGAAAAGGUUAAAGAAUAUAAAAAAAACUCAAAAAAUAUUGCUUAGGCAGACCGCGUAAAAGGCAUGAAGUACAGAUAAAUUGUUACUGUUUCAAUAUUUUUAUUUGACUAGUUUCUUGUUUAUUCUAUUCUUUCUACGUCAUUCUUAUUACUUCACACCAAGGAAAAGGUCACCCCCCCCCCCCCCCGCCCCGAAGGCCUAAAUCCUUUAUUAAAUCCUAACCCGUAGGAUAUAAUUCAGGAUUAUUUUAGACCCAUAACAUUACUUCUAAAUUAAAAGUAGAAGGAACAAUAUUUCUUCAGAAAAGUUAAGCUACAAUAGGUUAAGAACCAAUAAAGCAACAUAAGGGUGAAAUUUCGUAAAUGGUGCAAAAAGUCCCUAAUACGGGUCUGUUCGCGCAAGAGGUAAAAGGGCAUAUUAUGGUACCGUCAAAAUGUUAGACAAAGAGGCAAGUCUAAUUCCACUCGUAAUUAGGUACAGCAAAUAAAAACCAGAAUUUAUAUUUAGAAACUUCGAUAGCAUACCAUUUAAUAAGGGAUCAAUAAUAUUUGCAGAUCAUUUUGAUAUAACUAAUUUGUUUGGGUUUUACGUUAUCAUUUCAGAAUAAAUUUAAACUGUAGUGCAAUUUUAAACUUAACGACUUUUUCAAAUUUCCAUUUGAUAAGAAAUCGAUGUCUGGAGAUCAUUUUGUUUCUAUGAACAUUAUGAUUUCGAAAGUCAAAUUCUGAAUUUUUAUUGAAUAAAUUCCAGCUUAGACGACUUUCUCAAUUUUCUAUUUUUUUUUUUUGUAGAAAAAUGUUUGUUAUUUUUUCGUUUUAUUUCAUUUAAAUGAGGAUUUACUAGUGCCAUUGCGGAAAUUAUUAUAAAACUAAUAAUAUAUGCAUAUACAUAUUAAAUUAGUUUGUGGGCUAUUAAGAGUGAAACAAAAUCAGACGUCCCAUUAAAUUAAUAUUACAAUUUUUUGCUAUUAAUUUAGCUUUAUCCGUCUAAUUCCAAGGUAUCAAACCAAAGAAGACAAAUCUAAUUGCUAUAGAUAGUCGGACAACUUUCAACGUCUAAUAUAAUAUCCGAAAAAACUUUACUAUUAGGGUGAAGGAAAUCACAACAAAACUUGUUCGAUUCAAGUCGCUGCCAUUUUUUUAAUGUAUUAUCGAUUCAUGUUGAACACAAGCUUUUGCAAAAAUAGCCAUAAAUAAAUUAGAAAAUAUUAAGAAGAUAGUAAGAAAUCAUACACUAAAUCUCCAAGUAAAUUAAUUGGAUUAAUUGAGGAAUUCAAAUUAUGUUUACCGUUUCCUUAUGCCUGAAUUGGUCUAACUUUUGAUCCUACAAACAUUAUUUCAGGAAGGGGAUCAGUUCCAUGAUUCUAAUACCGAUGUUCUAUUUUUUCCAAAAACCUGGUUUGAUCAGCUGUGAAGAUUUUGAUUACGUUGAAUUUUGUUUUAAAAUGUCAAAUGGAGGUUUGAAAUUUGACAGUUUUUUGUAGUUUGAAUUUUUAAUAAUAUUUGAUAAGGAGUAAAAAAAAUAAAACUUAAACUACGACAUCAGUUUUCAAUUUAUUUGGUGGCAAAAAAAUGUACAUUGUGGACCGUUUAUUAUAGGAUUACACCUUAUCUUUCAAUUGAGAAAGCCUAUUUUACACCAGACAGGAUCAUUACCUCCUGUUUUAUUAAUUCUUUUAGAUUCUUAUAAAUUUAAAAAAUGGACAAAUGUUUUCAAGGAAUAGAACAUUAAGCAUAUAUAAAAUCUUGCCGAUUGCCAUUUAAACGUUAAUGUGUUUUGGUUAAACAGGAACAAAACGAUUGUCGUUCUCUGUUUAACCCUAGACUUUUACGUUCCAUUUUACUCGGUCGUCGUAUUUUAAUUGGUAUUAUUCCUACGGGGUUCUUGAAAUAUAACAAUUGUAAAGUUGUCCAUCGAAAUUUAUAGGUUAUGUUUAUAGUAAAAAGUAAAAAAAAACAUUCAUUUAAAACUUUGCUUUAUACCUACAAAAUUGAAGAAUUUGGGAGAAAUUGGUACAAAAAGCUCACCUAAAAAUUAUCUUUGGCUUAUAACAGAUGGGUGUAAGUGUAAAUAGAGGUGACGAGCUCUUUGUACACCAAAAGUUAUCAUUUGUUUAACAUAUCAUCGUUUAACAUAACGCGAACAAACGUUGCACCUGUAUUUGAGAUCUUGAAUGAUCCCAAAUUAAUUUUCUGAAGAAAAUAAGAUCAAGAUUAAGUUGCAUACGAUUUUAUUUAACGAAUGACACUGCAUUUUGUCUGUGUUCGCUAUGACAUGAUCCAAUUGUUGGAAAAGGCAAAAGGCAAGGAGUGUUGCUAUGGUAACUAUGUAACGUCGAAGAGAAUAAUUCCGAAAAGAGGGCAAUUAAUAAUACCCUGUGUGAGAUUAGAGAUUAUAAUGUAACAUUACAAAAAAUUUCAUAAUUAGAAGUAAUGCAAACCACAUCUGAUUAAUUUGAGCGUUGAGCACCAAUACACAAAACAAGAAAAAAUACGCUCGCCUAUGAAACACGUCUUCUAUUUGUUUACAUACGAGUAAAAGACAUUCCGCAAUUCAAACUGCCAAGUUUGUUCAAGUCUUUGGAAUAGAAAUAUCCAAAAACACCUUUUUACUUUCAAAAAGUCACUUUUUGAGGUUAAAAAGUUCCCAUACAUUGGCGUUCGUUAUAACGUUGUCACCUAAUAAGACAUUUCCUGCAAACCAUAUCGUUACUGUUAAAAAAAGAUUUAUUUGUUAUUUUAUGGGUAAUGUCACUUAAUGAAAGGAAUGCUAUCUGUCUCGAUAAUAUAUCUAUUAUCCGCAUUCAAAUGUAUUCUUGGUUGGUUCAUUUUGUCAUAAUAAUAUGCUCCAUGUUCCACAGUUUUACCAUUUAAAAUAGAAAGUUCAGUCAAAUAAAAAUUGAACGACGAACUGUAAUUGUAUAUAAUUUGUCGAGUCAAAACGGCCAUACUCUUGUAUCUGUUAUAUUUUAGUAAUUUCCUUAGUAGCGCUAGCUGUUUAUUCUUUAAUAGUUAAAGUACCUUAUUUAGUUAAUGUACAAUAAUUAUAUUUAAUUUGAAUUUUAAUAUGGUACAACAUGAUUUAGGAUAACAUCGUAUUUUAUUAUUUUUAAGUAAGGACAGAAUUGUUCAAUCCUUUGUACAACCACCGACACACCAAUUUGAAGCUUCAUGAAGAAAUUAAAGCUGCAUUACCGUGCAAUAUGUAUUUAAAUUUUGUUAAUGCUGUAGCUUUUUGGUCACUUCCGUUUCGAUUUGAAAUUAUAGCUAUUGGAUUCAACAAUAUCUGUACCUAAAAAGUGACGAAUUCGUACUUUAAUAAGUAAACGCGAAAAUUUAAGCUUCUGCUAUUUGACUAUGAGAAAAGAAUUAUUCGAUAUUUCGAUUCUUUUCGGCUUGUGAUUUAUCGAAUUUUUGGGUAUGAUUUAAAGGUAUUGAUUACGAAAGAGCACCCUGCGACGAAAAUCAGUAAUUUCAAAAUUAGGUUGAUUCCCUAUUUCAUAAUGGGAAUUUAUGGGAUCCGAUUUUUUUAUGGGAAAAAAGUAGGUAGUCAUUUUUGUAGUAUUUGUAAAACAGUUUUUGGAUUUUUUUUUAUCUAGAAUUUUACUGUUGACUAAUUCUGAGUAUAUAUAGUUAGUACUAAAUAACUCGUUUUAUUAAUUCAUUAUUAAGUGCAGUUUUUUCGUAUUGGUUAAUAAUUAUAAUCUAUGUUCAAAAUCAUGAAAAUUCAAGAACAUUGUCUUUGCCACAAAUUUACAAUGUGAAAACAAAUGCAACAAAUAUAAAAUUAACAAAAAUAGGAUCCAUAAACAUAUACACAAAAAUUCUUUAAAACAUACUUUUAACGACAACAAUAUAGUCAAACCGGAAAUAAUUAAUUUUCUAGAAACUUAAAUUUUUUAAAUUAAAAAGAAGGGCAUUAGCAAAGACAAAAGUGGUAGGAAAAUAUCAACGAAUUAUAAAAUUUUCCCCAUGCUUUCGAUGUAACAUCCAUGCUCAAGUGAUUUUUUUUGUCAUGACUUAUUGGUGGAAAACAUGUACAUAUGGCGUCCCGAAAUUUCCGUUAUGUUCUAAAAAUGGAAUUUACAUUGAGUGAACAAAAAGUGAUUACAGAGAAAACUUGUGACAAAAAUCUAAAAUAAAAUGAAUGGUGAAUGAAUGGAACAAAUAAUCUCAGUCUCUUUUAAACCAUCUUAUAUCAGCAACAAAUCAUACACAUUUUAAAAUAAUUGUAUUAGUUAAAUUAAAGCAGCCAUGCAUGCAAAUACAAAUAAAAAAUAAGAAUUAUAUUUGGUAUAUUCGAUAGGGAUAAAAAACAUUUGUGAGAGUUAUUGAGAAUUGCAAUUAUUUGGAAUGAUACAUUUUCAAAAAUGCGCGCAUUGGGACAAAAGCGGAAAAAAUAUCCAUUGUGAAGAAGAUAUCAGGCAUAUAUUAUCAAUAAAAUCAUCAUUCCUUUGAAAAUAAUAAUAAUCGAUUCAUAAAAGUAAUUAAUUGUCCGAAUAUCAAACCCCUAAAGUUAAAUCAGAAAACUGGUCUAGAGAAAGCGAAAUAAAUCUAAUGGAUUAAUAUAAAUUCACCUGCCAAGAUUUUUCAAUAUAUAAAAUAUAUAAACAUUUUUCGAUGAAACUGGCAAAUCUAAAAACCUAAGCAAACAAUCCUACAUCCUCUGUUUUCACAAAUGUCUCAAAUUAUUCACAGUGAAUCACCCUAUAUAUAUCUCUAUAUAUCUCUCACCUCAAGACAUCGUGUUAUACAAAAGUAAUUUAAUAUAUUCUGUAAGCUAUAUAAUAUGUUCUGCAUAACAGCCUUUUUGUCCCAAUGUGCGACGUCUCUAGCUGUGAUGUAAUGUGUAAAUGCGAAGUAAGGAAAACUUGCGAUAUAAAUAUUAGUCUUCACUUUAUCCUGCCACUCGUGGAGUUGCCAUCGCCCAUAUUUUUCAUCCGACUGAAGUCCCCUCCAUUUGUCGCCCUCAGACAACGGAAGAGAUUAUUCUACCAACCUGCAUUAUAUCCCAAAGGUGUAAAUAUUUUUAACUUAAAGAAUGAAAACUUCCUAGGGUAAGAUUUCUUCUUAACAUAGUGGUAAAGUGGCGCCACUUAUGAAAAAUGAAGUUUAGGCUGUUAAAUAUUUCCCCACCAAACAAAUUUCUUGUUUUAGAUUUUGCUCAAUUAUAUCAUCCCAUCUCUUGUCAUUACUAGUAGGUUUCAAUGGACCACUAUGGAUCUAGGUCUUCAAAAAGUAUGGGCCUAACAACGGUCUAACACAGUGAUUUGAAUUUGUAUGGCUUAAUUCAGAUUAAGUGUAAAAUUUUUUGGUUAGUUUUGGUUAUUAUAUUUACAAGAAAAGUUAUUCGAAGAAAUAUCAAGCGUUGAUAAUUUCAAAUCGCUUUAUCAAACCGUUCGCAAUGAUUAGAUUUCCCACUUUUGUGGCCUGGUUAACAAUGAAAAAGAGCAGUUCAGAUUAUAAACUGCGUUCAUUCGCAAUUUUUAUCCAUUUAAACCUUUUCAAACGCGUUGAUUUCAAUGUGUAGAACUGGAAGUGGUAUUGAAUUCAAUUUUGAAAAAUAACUGGUUACCGUUCUGAACUCCCUAGUUGAUCUCUACUCUGUGAUAUUGACAAAAAAGUGGAUUUAUAAUAGUCAAAUGGUUUUCUAUACAUUUUACUUGUACUACUGAUGAUUGCACAAUUAUUAACGUUUUCCAGGUUUAGCGAACAAAAAGAAAUGUCGUGUAUUACUAAUUGGGGAGAAUGGCAUUGAUUAAUCAUAAUUUUGUUACUUAUUUCGGGCACCGAUGAAGUUAUUUAUUUUCUAAGUGGGGUGUAGGUCAGUAGGGAAUUUACUUUGGAGGUAACUUUUCGUGCUAUAAUGAAACCCAAUAUAUUUGUAAAUAAUUUGUUGUCAUUUUAAUAUAUCUGCAUUUUAGUAGAGAAUUACUGAGGUAAUAAUGAGAAAAGUUACCUUUGUUGGUUAAUAGAAUUUUAAUUCUGCAUCUGGAAGUGUCCUUUUUGUUUUCUCCUAAUUUUUAACUAGACAUAGGAGUGAUAGAUAAAAAUAACGCAAAAAAAUAAAAAAAUAUAUAUUUUAAAACCUAAUAAAUGUACAAUGUACUCCAUAUAUUUUAUUUACUUAAUA